GCUCCCGCCGCUGCUCCAGCGACGCGCAGCCACCGCCGCCGCCGCCAGUCCUUAGCCUCCGCCAUGACGACCGUGUCCACCUCGCAGGUGCGCCAGAACUACCACCAGGACUCAGAGGCCGCCAUCAACCGCCAGAUCAACCUGGAGCUCUACGCUUCCUACGUUUACCUGUCCAUGUCUUACUACUUUGACCGCGAUGAUGUGGCUUUGAAGAACUUUGCCAAAUACUUUCUUCACCAAUCUCAUGAGGAAAGGGAACAUGCCGAGAAACUGAUGAAGCUGCAGAACCAACUAGGUGGCCCAAUCUUCCUUCAGGAUAUCAAGAAACCAGACUAUGACGACUGGGAGAGCAGGCUGAAUGCGAUGGAGUGUGCUUUACAUUUGGAAAAAAAUGUGAAUCAGUCACUACUGGAACUGCACAAACAGGCCACUGACAAAAAUGACCCCCAUUUGUGUGACUUCAUUGAGACACAUUACCUGAAUGAGCAGGUGAAAGCCAUCAAGAAUUGGGUGACCACGUGACCAACUUGCGCCAGAUGGGAGCACCCGAAUCUGGCUUGGCAGAGUAUCUCUUUGACAAGCACACCCUGGGAGACAGUGAUAAUGAAAGCUAAGCCUCUGGCUAAUUUCCCCAGAGCCAUGGGGUGACUUCCCUGUUCACCAAGGCAGUGCAUGCAUGUUGGGGUUUCCUUUACCUUUUCUA